rnacentral:rRNA from 1 species
GAUGAACGCUAGCUACAGGCUUAACACAUGCAAGUCGAGGGGCAGCAUGGUCUUAGCUUGCUAAGGCCGAUGGCGACCGGCGCACGGGUGAGUAACACGUAUCCAACCUGCCGUCUACUCUUGGACAGCCUUCUGAAAGGAAGAUUAAUACAAGAUGGCAUCAUGAGUCCACAUGUUCACAUGAUUAAAGGUAUUCCGGUAGACGAUGGGGAUGCGUUCCAUUAGAUAGUAGGCGGGGUAACGGCCCACCUAGUCUUCGAUGGAUAGGGGUUCUGAGAGGAAGGUCCCCCACAUUGGAACUGAGACACGGUCCAAACUCCUACGGGAGGCAGCAGUGAGGAAUAUUGGUCAAUGGGCGAGAGCCUGAACCAGCCAAGUAGCGUGAAGGAUGACUGCCCUAUGGGUUGUAAACUUCUUUUAUAAAGGAAUAAAGUCGGGUAUGGAUACCCGUUUGCAUGUACUUUAUGAAUAAGGAUCGGCUAACUCCGUGCCAG